CAAAUUCACCAAAACCCUGCUAUCGUUGGCCUGGACGUCGAGUGGCGCCCUAAUUUCAACCGCCGUAUCGAGAACCCAAUAGCUACUCUACAACUCUGCAUUGGCCGCAGAUGUCUCAUCUAUCAGCUCUUACAUUCCCCUACUGUCCCACAAUCUCUUGUGGAAUUCCUUCUCAAUGGGAAUUUUGUGUUUGUGGGGGUUGGCAUUGAGAGUGAUGUUGAAAAGCUGGUGGAGGAUUAUGGGUUAAGCGUGAGAAAUACUGUGGAUUUGAGGGGCUUGGCAGCGGAGAAGCUAGGAGUGAAGGAGUUGAAGAAUGCUGGGUUGAAGGAUUUGGUGAAGGAAGUAUUGGGGAAGGAAAUUAAGAAGCCCAAGAGGGUCACAAUGAGUAGGUGGGACAAUCCGUGGCUUACUCCUGAUCAGGUUCAGUAUGCUUGUCUUGAUGCCUUUGUGUCUUCUGAAAUUGGCAGGAGGUUGAAUUCUGCUGCUGCUGGAGCUGGAGCU
rnacentral:misc_RNA from 1 species